rnacentral:rRNA from 1 species
UGGCGGACGGGUGAGUAACGCGUGGGUAACCUGCCUCAUACAGGGGGAUAACAGUUAGAAAUGACUGCUAAUACCGCAUAAGACCACAGCACCGCAUGGUGCGGGGGUAAAAACUCCGGUGGUAUAAGAUGGACCCGCGUUGGAUUAGCUGGUUGGUGAGGUAACGGCCCACCAAGGCGACGAUCCAUAGCCGGCCUGAGAGGGUGAACGGCCACAUUGGGACUGAGACACGGCCCAG